rfam:Daphnia pulex DAPPTscaffold_686_Cont10636, whole genome shotgun sequence.
GCAUCGAUGGUUCAGUGGUAGACUGCUUGCCUGCCACGCGGGCGGCCCGGGUUCGAUUCCCGGUCGAUGCA